UACGUAGGGUGCGAGCGUUAAUCGGAAUUACUGGGCGUAAAGCGUACGCAGACGGUGAGAAAGGUCGGAUGUGAAAGCCCCGGGCUCAACCCGGGAACUGCAUCCGAAACCAUCUCGCUCGAGUGUGGGAGAGGGAAGCGGAAUUCCUGGUGUAGAGGUGAAAUUCGUAGAUAUCAGGAGGAACACCGGCGGCGAAGGCGGCUUCCUGGCCCAUUACUGACGUUCAGGUACGAAAGCGUGGGUAGCAAACAGG
rnacentral:rRNA from 1 species